ACUAGAUAGCAACUUUCAGCAGUGGAUGUCUAGGCUCGCACAUCGAUGAAGAACGCUGCGAACUGCGAUACGUAAUGCGAAUUGCAGGAUUCAGUGAGUCAUCGAAAUUUUGAACGCAUAUUGCACUUCCGGGUUACGCCUGGGAGUAUGCCUGUAUCAGUGUCCGUACAUCAAGCUUGGCUUCCUUCCUUCCGUGUAGUCGGUGGCGGGGACGCGCAGACGUGAAGUGUCUUGCUGGCCGUGAGGCGGGCGAGUCCUUUGAAAUGUAAGAUACUGUUCUUCUCUUUGCUGGAAAAGCGUGCGUUGUGCGGUUGUGGAGGCUGCCGUUAUGGCCAGUCGGCGACUGAUUUCGUGCUGAGGCGUGUGGAGAGGAGCUCGAUUCGCGGUAUGGUUGGCUUCGGCUGAACUUCUGCUUAUGGUGCUGCUUGUCUGCUGUUUCGGCGUAGCGGGGUCGGUGAACCGUAGUCGUGGUGGCUUGGCUUUUGAACCGUGCGAUUGCUGCGCGAAGUAUGGUGGCUUCGGCCGAGAGGACGACCUAUUUGGGACGAUUGUGCGGCUUCGUGCUGCAUCUCAAUUGGACCUGAUAUCAGGCAAGAUUACCCGCUGAACUUAAGCAUAUCAAUAAGCGGAGGAA
rnacentral:rRNA from 1 species